GGCGGGGCCGGGCCGGGAGGCGCCGGGAUGGACGCGCUGAAGUCGGCGGGUCGUGCCCUGCUGCGGAGCCCCAGCGUCCACAAACCCUCCUGGGCCGGCGGCCGGCACAAGAAGCUCCCAGAGAACUGGACUGACACCCGCGAGACGCUGCUGGAGGGGAUGCUCUUCAGCCUCAAGUACAUGGGGAUGACACUGGUGGAGCAGCCCAAGGGAGAGGAGCUCUCUGCAGCUGCUGUCAAAAGGAUCGUGGCCACUGCGAAAGCAAGUGGGAAGAAACUGCAGAAAGUGACUCUGAAAGUCUCUCCCCGGGGGAUCGUGUUGAACGACAGCAGCACGAACGAGCUGAUUGAGAACAUCUCCAUAUACAGGAUAUCCUACUGCACGGCAGACAAGAUCCACGAUAAAGUGUUUGCCUACAUUGCCCAGAACCAGCUCAAUGAGAACCUGGAGUGCCAUGCCUUCCUCUGUACCAAACGGAAAAUGGCACAGGCCGUCACCCUCACCGUGGCACAGGCCUUCAAAAUCGCCUUUGAGCUCUGGCAAGCAGCUAAGGAAGAGAAGGAAAAGCGGGAAAGGUCCAUCUUGGAAGGAGAAGGCACGAGCAGCCCCAGCUCAGAAGCCCCUGCCCACCCUGACACAUCAGCAGCCACGGGGAACUUGCUGGAUUUUGAAGAUCCUGCCAAAUCAGCCCUGAGCAGCAGCACAGACCCCCCCCACUUGGAUAACAGCGUGUUUGGGCCCAGCUCCUCUGUGAACAACAACGUGGUGUGGGAAAUGGAUGAUGGUCUCGACGAGGCGUUUUCAAGGUUGGCUCAGUCAAGAACAAACCCUCACGUCCUCGACACGGGGUUGACAGCUCAGGACAUCCAGAGUGCAGAAACGCUCUCCCCUGUAGACUGGAACAAAAUAGAUUCCACCACAGGCGAGAAGGAUGAUCUGUUCAUGUUCUGAGGUCAAAUGCAUCUAAGAGCUGACUAGAGAAUAACCACUAAAAGUCUCUGGACUGGAUCGUGCUGUUGCAGGUGCUGUACACAAGGGACUCUUCUAAGGGCUCUUCGCCAGGUCAGGUGAUGUUACAGCACAGUUUAGACCAAAGCUUUAGAAACCUGAUGCAGAUUUUUAUACCUUGCUUUUAUCUAAACCACGAGAUGCUCUUGAACAUAUUUAUUCCCAGCCUUUACCGUUUACAUGUGUUAUUGGAAGGCGUGGAGAGCAUCUACAGUGUUACGUGGCAAUAAUGCCAUGGGAGAACCUUCAGCAGUGCCUGUUGCUCUCUGAAAACAGACUGUGCACCACCAAAGUCCCUCUGUGUGUAUCCUCUAGACAAAGGUCUGCAGAUGCAAAUGCAAUUCCAAGCACAACUGUUACUAAUCCACUGAUUCUUGAACAACACGUCACCUGCCUGGGCGAGGGGAGGAGAUUUGCAGCAGCUGCUGACAGUGUUAAAUCAAAGAGGUGGCAGAGAUCUUGCUUUUGUAUGAAUGUCUGUGACACUCUCACAGUUGUCAAUCACCCCUGCGGGUUCUGGCCGUUUCUUCACCAGCUCCAUGUGGGAAUUGACACUUUUUUUACCCAAAGACUCUACGAAGUUUUGCACUUUAAAGCUUGAACUGAAAGCAAUGGUCCGAGUUGUCAAGGUAAGCAGUGCCUGUAUUUUCUCUUCAGAAGCUAUUUACCCAAAAAUAACCCAACCUGGCAAUGCUGCAGCUCUGUUUCAAAGCUGAUUCCUCAUGUCCACCAUCUCUGAUGCGACUCAAAAUACUGAAACUCCUUUGCACUGUUGGCUUUGAAAGCAAAACCACCAAGGAGGAAUGAUUUGUUCUGCUAAAGUGUGUUGGAAGUGGCAGCUGGGGUGGACCAGCAGCAGGAUAGAUCUGUGUUCUCAGCCUGGCUGAGUGGAUUUGCCUGUCCAUGACUUCUUACUGCCUCAAAACCAUUUGGUUGUUGCUCACUCAAUGGACUCCAAUGGAAUUGGAUUAGGCAAGACCAAUACCUGGAUGUUCAGUUAGCAAGAGGUGCCCCUUCCAGGUACUUGGAUCCCCUGCUCCCUGACAGCCACAGUUCCCAGGAGGCUCAGGAAGCUGCUUCAUCUGCUCCUGGAACUGAAAAUAAGUAAUGGAGGAAGUGAUUGGAAACAUCCUUGGGAGGAAGUGCUUAUGGGACUGGAUGUUGCCCCAUGGGAUGCACAGAGGGAUGUACAGUCUGUCCCUGCAUUGGCCUCCAGGAGCCAGGUGAUUCUCACCAACGUCACUGCUCCCGCGUCAGGGCGGCCGCGCUCCCCUCCCUGCAAAAGGAAGGAUCAGGAGAGGCAGGUUGGGAACAUCGACCCCAUCAAGGUUUGGCUCUGAAAUCCCUGCUGGCUCCUGUGAUUUAUCACUCACCCAGCUGCUGCUCGCAGCUUGGAAAAGAGAAGCGGGGAGGGGAAAAUAUGGAUUUUUAAAAGCUUGGCUUUAAAGCCCACGGGCUCAGGCCAAGGCUCCUGUCCUGGCUGAGGGAACGGGGUGGGAACCACAUUGCUGGUCACAACUGGAAUAAAACAGCCACCCACGUCAGGCUGUGGCCAAGCAGUGAUUCUGCUGCCUGCUCUUCCUUGGCACACAGGUCUUUUGAGCUAUGACAUGAGGAAAAACAGUGUUUGGGUACCAGUUUAUUCCCCAGGCACCUUGUUUGCCCCAAACUUUUGCCAUCACGGUUUCCACUUUGGAAUCACCAAGCCAUCGUCUCUCCGGCCACACGGGGGGAUGCCCAGGGGGAUUUUAAUUCCCCUCCUUUCAAACCAGCCACUCUGCAAAUUCCUCUCCAAAUCUCUCACUUUCUGCCUCCAAGGUUUUGUUUUGUUUGUUUUUUUAUUUCACCUUUCCAGCCAUCACCAUCAGCAAUUUCUUGCCCAGCAAAAAACUCCAACCUCUCCACUCAAGAGUCUUCCCGACGUUCCCUGCAAACCACAGCAGCAGUUUCUGUCUCGGCUGCUACAAUCCCACGGAUGGUAACACCACUCCAGGCAAAGUUUUGGCUUAAAAGCCUUGAUGAUGAUACUUUGCAGGGAGUUAUUUGGCUUGUACCUUUGUGUUUCCAUCUCCCUCCGCUGAUCUUGCUGUAGCAACCCCCCCAAACUUGCUGCUUGUCAGGUCUUGUUUUAGCUAAAACCCUCCUCCUUCCCCUGCUUUUAAUGUGACAUCCCAGCACCCGGCCUGUCACUUGGCUACUGCCUCUAUCACACACUCAUACGUACGAGCCUCAGGUCUAAUUAAUGUAAUAAAAUGUGUAAAAGCACUAAAUCUGCUCAGAUGUGGCAAUUUUAUCACUUCUAUAUGCUGUCACAGCACAAGUAAAACUGACAGCAAGGAAUAAAACAGUUAUGUCUCUGGCAUUUUUUACUACUUUUAAUAUGCUCUCUUUUUUUUUCCUCUUUGUUACUGGAAAUUUAAAUUAUAAUGGUAUGCUUCACUUAAAGAAAGUAUCCAUAGCAACAGGAACAUCUAAAUUAUUGCAGGCUGAUCACUUCUCUCCUGGAGUCACAUCACAUGCCUUUCAAAGACAGUCCCAGAGGUGCAGGAUUUUAAUAGAAUUUUUUUUUAACCUUUUUUGCAAACAAACAAGUGUAUACACAGUGCUUUCCCCAUCAAUACACUACCUACAGACAGAUCUAAACCGAGUCACUGCCAGCACACUUGGCUGCCCAGAGAGAGGGGAUUCAGGCUUGCUCUUUCUGAGCCUGUGCCUCCUGGUCAUCCCAUGUGAAACAAGAAUUUCCAUGGAG